rnacentral:rRNA from 1 species
GAUCUGGCUCAGGACGAACGCUGGCGGCGUGCCUAACACAUGCAAGUCGAACGGACGAGGAGGUGCUUGCACCUCCAAGUUAGUGGCGGACGGGUGAGUAACGCGUGAGCAACCUGCCUCAAAGAGGGGGAUAACGUCUGGAAACGGACGCUAAUACCGCAUGAUAUACUGAAUAGGCAUCUAUUUAGUAUCAAAGGAGCAAUCCGCUUUGAGAUGGGCUCGCGUCUGAUUAG